rnacentral:rRNA from 1 species
UACGUAGGGUGCAAGCGUUGUCCGGAAUUAUUGGGCGUAAAGGGCUCGUAGGCGGUCCAUCGCGUCGGGAGUGAAAAGCUGGGGCUCAACCCCAGUCCUGCUUCCGAUACGGGUGGACUAGAGGUAUGCAGGGGAGAACGGAAUUCCUGGUGUAGCGGUGAAAUGCGCAGAUAUCAGGAGGAACACCGAUGGCGAAGGCAGGUCUCUGGGCUGACACUGACGCUCAUGCACGAAAGCGUGGGGAGCAAACAGG